rnacentral:ncRNA from 1 species
GCAGAGUUAAGGUGCCGGAAUACACGCUCAUCAGACACCACAAAAGGUGUUAGUUCGUCUAGACAGCAGGACGGUGGCCAUGGAAGUCGGAAUCCGCUAAGGGGUGUGUAACAACUCACCAGCCGAAUGAACUAGCCCUGAAAAUGGAUGGCGCUUAAGCGUGUUACCCAUGAUCUGC